UACGUAGGUGACAAGCGUUGUCCGGAUUUACUGGGCGUAAAGAGCGCGCAGGCGGUCGUUCAAGUCGAGUGUGAAAGCCCCCGGCUCAACUGGGGAGGGUCAUUCGAUACUGAUCGACUCGAAGGCAGGAGAGGGUAGUGGAAUUCCCAGUGUAGUGGUGAAAUGCGUAGAUAUCGGGAGGAACACCAGUGGCGAAGGCGACUACCUGGCCUGUUCUUGACGCUGAGGCGCGAAAGCUAGGGGAGCAAACGGG
rnacentral:rRNA from 1 species